UGUGACGUGGAAAACCCGGCCACUUCUCAGGAAGCACAGAGGUUGCGUGGAAGCCAUUACAGAGCAGAUCUCACAGCUGAAUGACUGAAGAGUCUCCUAAUGGCAUGAAGCAUGAUGACAUGACUGAAAGUUAUUCUGCAGUGGCAACAUUUAAUGUUUACAUCUGGCUGCAACCAGCUUCCUCUCCA